UACGUAGGGAGCAAGCGUUGUCCGGAAUCAUUGGGCGUAAAGCGCGCGUAGGCGGCCCCGUAAGUCCGCUGUGAAAGUCAAAGGCUCAACCUUUGAAAGCCGGUGGAUACUGUGGGGCUAGAGUCCGGAAGAGGCGAGUGGAAUUCCUGGUGUAGCGGUGGAAUGCGCAGAUAUCAGGAGGAACACCAAUAGCGAAGGCAGCUCGCUGGCCUAAAACUGACGCUGAGGCGCGAAAGCGUGGGUAGCAAACAGG
rnacentral:rRNA from 1 species